UACAGAGGGUGCAAGCGUUGCUCGGAAUCACUGGGCGUAAAGCGCACGUAGGCGGAUUGCUAAGUCAGGGGUGAAAUCCUGGAGCUCAACUCCAGAACUGCCUUUGAUACUGGCAACCUUGAGUCCGGGAGAGGUGAGUGGAACUGCGAGUGUAGAGGUGAAAUUCGUAGAUAUUCGCAAGAACACCAGUGGCGAAGGCGGCUCACUGGCCCGGUACUGACGCUGAGGUGCGAAAGCGUGGGGAGCAAACAGG
rnacentral:rRNA from 1 species